GUCGGAUAGUCAGGUCGGUUGGUUAGCGGGUCGGAUGGUCCAUAGGUCGGAAGGUCUGCGGUCGGAUAGUCAGGUCGGUUGGUUAGCGGGUCGGAUGGUCCAUAGGUCGGAAGGUCUGCGGUCGGAUAGUCAGGUCGGUUGGUUAGCGGGUCGGAUGGUCCAUAGGUCGGAAGGUCUGCGGUCGGAUAGUCAGGUCGGUUGGUUAGCGGGUCGGAUGGUCCAUAGGUCGGAAAGUCUGCA